GGGCGGUUAGCUCAGUGGUAGAGCAUUCGCUUCACACGCGAAGGGUCGUAGGUUCAAGUCCUAUACCGCCCACCA
rnacentral:tRNA from 9 species